rnacentral:lncRNA from 1 species
UUUCUACCCUGGUGAUAUGAGAUACUUUUGCUUUGGAGUCAUUGGCUUGCAGAGGUACCCCAAGGAAUAAGGAAUACUGAGUGACCCGAGAGGCUUCGUUAGGAAGGCAUUCUCGGAGAUGAAGAAAGGUUCUGUAUGUCUGCCUUGCUAUGGAAGGUGAAGGUGGACAAUUAUAGGAAGUUCUUUGAUACCUGUAGAGGUACUAUUCUUUCACUCGUGUCGGCAACCAAUGCGUGAUUGAACAGUAAACUUCACGUGCUUUCUCCUUCACCGAAAAUCUUCGACAAAUUGCCCGUGAUUUGCGCAAAGUUUAGUGUGCAUAUGACAGGUGUUUGACGAGGCUGAAAAAGACUGGCGCCUCUUCGAUAUCUGGGAUCGGCGCUUCGACAAAUUGCCCGUGAUUUCCGCAAAGCUGAGUUUGCGCGUGACGGGUGCUGACGAGGCUGAAAAAGACUGGCGCCUCUUCGAUAUCUGGGAUUGGCGCUUUAACAAAUUGCCCGUGAUUUCCGCAAAGCUGAGUUUGUGUGUGACGGGUGCUAACGCGUCUGGAAAAGCAAGAUGCUUCUCCGAUUUCUGAGCUUGCCUCUUCGAUUUUUUGAAUCGGCAUUUUCAAACUGUGAGCUCACCUCUUCGAUCUCUGAAAUCCCGUCGAGUGCUGAUUUUUAUAGAGGUACGCAGUUCGUUUCAAAGCACACUUGAAUUUUCGCUUGUAGAAACUCCCUUCUUGCACUUCUAAGAUCUUGAUUUGUCCGACCUCUUCUUUCUUCAACACCUUUGAAAAUGUCUGGACCCUCCGACCG